rnacentral:rRNA from 1 species
ACGCUGGCUACAGGCUUAACACAUGCAAGUCGAGGGGAAACGACGGGGAAGCUUGCUUCCUUGGGCGUCGACCGGCGCACGGGUGAGUAACGCGUAUCCAACCUGCCUCUGACUGAGGGAUAACCCGUCGAAAGUCGGCCUAAUACCUCAUGGCAUCGUCUGCGGGCAUCCAACGACGAUUAAAGAUUUCAUCGGUCAGGGAUGGGGAUGCGUCUGAUUAGCUGGUUGGCGGGGUAACGGCCCACCAAGGCUACGAUCAGUAGGGGUUCUGAGAGGAAGGUCCCCCACAUUGGAACUGAGACACGGUCCAAACUCCUACGGGAGGCAGCAGUGAGGAAUAUUGGUCAAUGGGCGAGAGCCUGAACCAGCCAAGUAGCGUGCAGGAAGACGGCCCUAUGGGUUGUAAACUGCUUUUAUGCGGGGAUAAAGUGAGGGACGUGUCCUUCAUUGCAGGUACCGCAUGAAUAAGGACCGGCUAAUUCCGUGCCAGCAGCCGCGGUAAUACGGAAGGUCCUGGCGUUAUCCGGAUUUAUUGGGUUUAAAGGGAGCGUAGGCCGUGGAUUAAGCGUGUUGUGAAAUGCAGGUGCUCAACGUCUGCACUGCAGCGCGAACUGGUCCACUUGAGUGUGCGCAACGCAGGCGGAAUACGUCGUGUAGCGGUGAAAUGCUUAGAUAUGACGAAGAACUCCGAUUGCGAAGGCAGCUUGCGGGAGCACAACUGACGCUGAAGCUCGAAAGUGCGGGUAUCGAACAGGAUUAGAUACCCUGGUAGUCCGCACGGUAAACGAUGGAUGCCCGUUGUCAGGCUGUUUCAGCCUGGUGACCAAGCGAAAGCAUUAAGCAUCCCACCUGGGGAGUACGCCGGCAACGGUGAAACUCAAAGGAAUUGACGGGGGCCCGCA